CUGCAUUCACUACACUAAGACACACUCUGCAUCCGCUACACUAACACACACUCUGCAUCCGCUACACAUUAACACACACUCUGCAUCCGCCACACACUAACACACACUCUGCAUCCGCUACACACUAACCCACUCUCUGCAUUCACUACACAUUAACACACUCUGCAUUCACUACACUAACACACACACUCUGCAUCCACUACACACUAACACACUCUCUGCAUUCACUACACUAACACACACUCUGCAUCCGCUACACACUAACACAC